GGGGUGCGGGCGGCCGUGCGACGGCCAUUUUGUUGGUGGAGUCGCAGCGGGAAGGCUUUCAGCCCUCUAAAUGGCUCGUUUCCCAGAGGUGCGGAGCCGCUCGCCCACGUUCCCCUGCAGCUCUGUCCCAGCCUGGGGGAGCUGCUGCAGUGGGGGAUGACGGAGUGGGUCCUUCCUGCUGAGCUCUAAAACGCCAUGAAUUAACCCCAAACGCCCCAAACUCGCCAUGGGACCCGCCCCAAGCAGACGGUGAGUUCCCGUCGCCGGCAGCCACCGGCCCCCCAUGAGGAAACCCCCGCGCGUCUGACCCCCCCCACCCGCCGCCAGAACCUGCCAAAGGGGGUGAUGGAGCUGCGAGAAACCAGGUCAGUGGGGGGGGAGUCAGCACCUACCGGGUGCCUCUGGGGCGCCCCCGUUUUGGGGGUCCCCCCCCCGGGUGUGAUGAGUCCGACUCAGGAAUCUCGUUCGGCUGACGGCCGCUGCUGAGGACGUUUGGGCUGACCCGGGGCGGGGGGGGGACAGGGUGACAUGCCUUUGGGGUGACAUUGACCCCCCCAUUGUGUCCCCACAGGGGGACUGGGGGCUGUGUGUGUCCCCCCCAAGCAUUUUGGGGUGAUUAACCCCCUCUUUCUGUCCCCGCAGGGUGACAGCGGGGGCUGGGGGAGACCAGGAUGAGGUAGGUAAUGGGGGGGGGGUGUCUUACCUCACUGGUGAUGUCAUCACCCUUAAGAUUGAAGAAACCCCCCAAUUUUUGUGAUGAGGUCACUAGCUCACUUUGACCCUCCUGAAAACACCCGAACACCUGAAAAAUUGGGGGGGGGGGGGGCGGGG